UGGGGAAUUUUGCACAAUGGGGGAAACCCUGAUGCAGCGACGCCGCGUGAUUUAGAAGGCCUUCGGGUUGUAAAAAUCUUUUGUAUGGGAAUAAAAUGACAGUACCAUACGAAUAAGGACCGGCUAAUUACGUGCCAGCAGCCGCGGUAAUACGUAAGGUCCGAGCGUUGUCCGGAAUCAUUGGGCGUAAAGGGUACGUAGGCGGAUAAGCAAGUUAGAAGUGAAAUCCUAUAGCUCAACUAUAGUAAGCUUUUAAAACUGCUCAUCUUGAGGUAUGGAAGGGAAAGUGGAAUUCCUAGUGUAGCGGUGAAAUGCGCAGAUAUUAGGAGGAAUACCGGUGGCGAAGGCGACUUUCUGGCCAUAUACUGACGCUGAGGUACGAAAGCGUGGGUAGCAAACAGG
rnacentral:rRNA from 1 species